rnacentral:rRNA from 1 species
AGAGUUUGAUGGUGGCUCAGGAUGAACGCUGGCGGCGUGCCUAACACAUGCAAGUUGAGCGAUUUACUUCGGUAAAGAGCGGCGGACGGGUGAGUAACGCGUGGGUAACCUACCCUGUACACACGGAUAACAUACCGAAAGGUAUGCUAAUACGGGAUAAUAUAUUUGAGAGGCAUCUCUUGAAUAUCAAAGGUGAGCCAGUACAGGAUGGACCCGCGUCUGAUUAGCUAGUUGGUAAGGUAACGGCUUACCAAGGCGACGAUCAGUAGCCGACCUGAGAGGGUGAUCGGCCACAUUGGAACUGAGACACGGUCCAAACUCCUACGGGAGGCAGCAGUGGGGAAUAUUGCACAAUGGGCGAAAGCCUGAUGCAGCAACGCCGCGUGAGUGAUGAAGGCCUUCGGGUCGUAAAACUCUGUCCUCAAGGAAGAUAAUGACGGUACUUGAGGAGGAAGCCCCGGCUAACUACGUGCCAGCAGCCGCGGUAAUACGUAGGGGGCUAGCGUUAUCCGGAUUUACUGGGCGUAAAGGGUGCGUGGGCGGUCUUUCAAGUCAGGAGUGAAAGGCUACGGCUCAACCGUAGUAAGCUCUUGAAACUGGGAGACUCGAGUGCAGGAGAGGAGAGUGGAAUUCCUAGUGUAGCGGUGAAAUGCGUAGAUAUUAGGAGGAACACCAGUUGCGAAGGCGGCUCUCUGGACUGUAACUGACGCUGAGGCACGAAAGCGUGGGGAGCAAACAGGAUUAGAUACCCUGGUAGUCCACGCUGUAAACGAUGAGUACUAGGUGUCGGGGGUUACCCCCUUCGGUGCCGCAGCUAACGCAUUAAGUACUCCGCCUGGGAAGUACGCUCGCAAGAG